CUUCUUCGCCGCCGCCUCAGGAGCCGCUGACAGGGGAAGCAGGAGGCUCGCGGCCCGGCCCUGGCGGCACACUCACAGCGCCCUCUGAGGAGGAGGUCUGCUCUCUCGCCGCUCCCGAGUCGCAGACACAAAAGCCCCCAGACUGGAGCCGCCUGUAAAACCCGCUCUGGGGCGGGCGAGGGACGUGGCGCGGCCCCGCGGCUUCCCCGCCCUGAGCUCCCCAGCCCCGCGCGGGGACGGGCUUCGGGGGGCGGGGGCCGCUGCCUCGUCCCGCGGCGCCUCCCGCCACCGCCGCCGCCUCGCGCUCCGCCUCGGCCCAGCCCCCACGGCCCGCGCGCGCCUCUUGCUCCAAGCCGGGGCUCGCGGGCCCGCGGCUCUUGCAGCCCGGGUGGGCAGCGCGCGCCUAGGGGCCGCCCCGCCCCGCGCCCGGCGCUCCCUCGCCGACCGCCAGGCCCGAGAACGCCCGACCCCGCGGCCGACGCUACCGGGCCCAGCUUUCGCAAGGAAAGGGCAUCUCCGAACUUCGUCGGAGGCCACAGCAGCAGGCGUCUCGGCCUCGCAGCUAGGGAUCGGAAAGAUGAACGUACCAUGCGAGGAAACUUUGUAAGCGGGAGCUGGAGAGUUCUCGGCGGGCAUGUGGGGAUCCAGAUUCCCCGACUCCGUGUCCGCGUGGCCGUGGUGUGGACACCUGUCUGUAGAAUGCCUCCACUUGGUAUUUUAACGACUUGACUCUUCAAGAAAGAGCGACGUAGAAUAAAUACCAGAAAGGACGGUGGGCGGGGGAGGGGGGAGCGUGGGUAGAAGCGGUGACGCGGCUGGAUCUCAUUUAGACGUUAAAUUUUAGGAGGAACACCCCCAGUGUGAUUGUAAAUUAGAUGUGAUCACCGGUCCACAUUCUUCAGUUGGGCUGUGUGACCGGAGGCGACUUAGGUAACCUCUCUGGGUCUCAGUUUUCUUGUCUAUAAAAGGCAGUGGGGCUACAUCUCGAAGGUCUCUUCUAGCUCCGACAUUGUUUAACGCACUUCUACGAAAUUGUUUUCCCUGGUUUUUGUUUUUUGUUUUUUGUUUUUGUUUUUGUUUUGCUAGGUUUUCUGGUUAUCCACUGGGCUUAUUUUGAUGUAAGAAUCACCGAAAAGCACUCAUGAAGCGUGGGAGGACACAGAACUAGCUACAGACAGGAGUCUCGUCCUUCCGGAGACAGACACCCAACUCAUUCAGCUGCACAGUGUCACAGAGAACAGAUGUUAACAUGAAGCCAAUGUACAGCCUCAACAGCUGCAUACCAGACAAUCGCCACAGCGGCUGAUCGUCGUUAAGACAUAGCGUGGCCGGAGGCAAAUGUUACCCUUUAUCUAAUAAGGGUGGUCUGGAAUUAUGGAAUUCCUGAUUAGAAGAGUCAGACUAGGACAGGCUAAGGAAAAUAUUCUUACAGGAAGCACUCUGAGGAGAAGGUUCCUCCUAACUAGAAUGUAAGCGCCAUGCAGGCAGGAAUUUUGACUGGCUCACUGCUGUAUCCUCUGGUACCUAAUACUGAGUAACACAUAGUAAGUGUUCGGGAAAAUAUUCAUUGAUGUAUGAAUAAAGAGAUUUGAAGUGGCCCUGGGACGACUGGGGUGGCAGGGCUUUGGUAAGUGUAAUAAAGCCGAAGCAAAUGGUAAUAUAAUAAAGCAGAUUGGGGGCCGGGCGCGGUGGCUCACGCCUGUAAUCCCGGCACUUUGGGAGGCCGAGGCAGGCGGAUCAUGAAGUCAGGAGAUCAAGACCAUCCUGGCUAACACGGUGAAACCCCGUCUCUACUAAAAAUACAAAAAAAAAAUUAGCCGGGUGUGGUGGCGGGCGCCUGCAGUCCCAGCUACUCGGGAGGCUGAGGCAGGAGAAUGGCGUGAACCCGAGAGGCGGAGCUUGCAGUGAGCCGAGAUCGCGCCACUGCACUCCAGUCUGGGUGACAGAGUGAGACUCUGUCUCAAAAAAAAAAAAAAAAAAAAAUUAAAAAUAAAGCAGAUUGAAUCUAAUAAUCUAUGUUAUAGGGUGGUUGGAGGAAAAUUUGAAAGCACUUUGGUAAGUCAACAAAGAAAUGAAGGCCAGCUGUGGUGGCUCACGCCUGUAAAUCCCAACACUUUGGGAGGUUGAGGCGGGAGGAUCACUUUAGCCCAGGAAUUUGAGACCAGCCUGGGUAACAAAGCUAGACCCUUCUCUACAAAAUAAUUUUUAAAAAUUAGCCAGGCGUGGUGGCACCGGCCUAUAGUCCCAACUACUCAGGAAACUGAGGCAAGAAGAUCCCUUAAGCCCAGGAGUUCAAGGUUGCAGUGAGCGAUGAUUACACCACUACACUUCAUCCUGGUUAACAGAGCAAGCAAGACCCUGUCCCCCCUCCAGAAAAAUAUGGAAAUGACAUAUUUUCAUUUUAUAACUCUUAGUGGAAGGAGAAUGGUUCAGAAAAAUCAUUGCUAAGAGAUUUUGAGUUCUUUAUUGUAAUUCCCUAAAGCUAGAGACUCAGAAAUAGCAUGAAAAUCAAGAGAAAUGAAUUGGCUUCUUUUUAAUGAUUCAUCAAGAAUAAAAAGACCAUCUUACUUGGGCAUAGUCUUUUAAAUCGAUUUUACUUCCAAAUCUUGAUGGCUUCCUUGCACAUAAUCAGAAUUACCUGGAGAGCAUUCCAAAAUUUCAGAUUCCUAAGUCCCUCCCCAGAUUUACUAGAGUCAGAAUCCCUAGACGUCUGUUUUUAAAGGCUCUCUAGGUGAUUCAAAAGCAAUGAGCAGAUUUGAUGACUUGCAUUUAUCAGCCAUUUGGUAUAAAACAUUGUCACCCAAAGAUUGUAUACAGAGAUUGAGACAAUGGUUCCUGUCCUUAAGAAGUUCACAGUUUAGGGCAGGAAGUAGAGGUUUAAGGUAACAUGAACAAUGCAAAAUGCCAAGCACUGCAAUAGACUUCCGUGUCAGCAGAGGACAGAAACCCUCCACUCAGCUUGGGAGGCAGGUAGCUGAUGAUGUUUUUAGGAGAGCCUUAAAAAGAACAUAUAGGAGGCCGGGCACAGUACCUCAUGCCUGUAAUCCCAGCACUUUGGGAGGCCGAGGUGAGUGAAUCACGAGGUCAGGAGUUCAAGACCAGCCUGGCCAAGACGGUGAAACCCCGUCUCUACUAAAAACACACCAAAAAGCCAGGCAUGGUGGUGGGUGCCUGUAAUCCUAGCUACUCGGGAGGCUGAGGCAGAGAAUUGCUUGAACCCAGGAGGCAGAGGUUGCAGUGAGCCAAGAUUGUGCCACUGCAUUCCAGCCUGGACGACAGAGAGAGACUCUGUCUCAAAAAAAAAAAAAAAAAAAAAAGAACAUGUAGGAGUUGUUACCAGGGGUUGAGGAUAAAGGUUAGGUAAUGAGGAGUUACUGUUUAAUGAGUACAGUAUUUCAGUUUGGGAUAUUGAAAAUUUUCUGGAGAUGGAUAGUGGUAAUAGUUACACAACAAUGUGAAUGUAAUUAAUGCCACUAAAUUGUAUUUGAUGGCUAAAAUGGUAAAUUUUAUGUUAUAUGUAUUUUACCAUAAAAUGGUUGAGGUGAGAACAUGUAGAAAAUAAAAUGGAUUGCAAGGGCAAAUGGAGUCUUGUAAUCAGAGGGAACAGAGUUUCCAAAGGACAAGAAGGGUGAAAACGUAUGAAUCUUUUGGAGACUGUAAGUAGUUAGGACUGGCUGGAGCAUAAGGUACCUUUUGAGAAGUGGCAGGAGCUGAUUUUGAGGAAGUAGACAAGAGGCCAGACCUCUGAAGGGCAUUGCAUGCCACACCAAGAAUGUUUGAUUUUAUCCUGAAAGCAAUGGAGAAACAUUGAUGAGUUUAAGCAGGUGAGUGACAUGUUUAGGUCUGAAUUUUAGAAAGAUCAUUCUGGCUACUAGGUGAAAGAUGGAUUAGAGAGGCACAGAACAUUAGUAUCUUAGUCUAUUUGUGCUGCUAUAACAGAGCACCACAGACUGGGUAAUUUUUAAAGAACAGAAAUGUAUUCCUCACAGUUCUGGAGGGUAAGAACUCUUAA
rnacentral:lncRNA from 1 species